GUAUGUAUUAUGCUGAAUACCUUUACAGAUAUAAUUAAUAAAUAAUUAGAUUGUUAACUGCAGACUAUCAUUCCUACUUUUUAAUUUUGUCUAUCUCAUUUUAAAAAGCAAAUCAAAAAAGGUAACAACAAAUAAUUAAAAUAAAAAUGCUGACAUUUUAAUUUUGAAUGGCUAUGUUUUAUUUAGAAAUAAGAAUCUGAGCUGCACUGUGGUUUUGAAUGGCAGUAGAAUAGUCUAUCUUUUGUGUUUUGUCUGUUUUUAUCAAAGUAUAUUAUUAGAUCUCCUGCUAUACUACCCUGGACAACCGAAUGCUAAAUAGAUGUACUAAAAAUUAAAUGACAUCUGAGAACUUUCCAGGACAUCUGCAACAUGAUUUAGCAACAUCGAAGGAGGCAGCUGGAUCUGCUGGGAUCUCUGAAAUCAGGACAUGA
rnacentral:lncRNA from 1 species